UGGAAGUAAAAAGUCGUAACAAGGUCUCCGUUGGUGAACCAGCGGAGGGAUCAUUACCGAGUUUACAACUCCCAAACCCCUGUGAACAUACCUUAUUGUUGCCUCGGCGGAUCAGCCCGCGCCCCGUAAAACGGGACGGCCCGCCAGAGGACCCAAACUCUAUUGUAUUUAGUGUAUCUUCUGAGUAACACAAACAAAUAAAUCAAAACUUUCAACAACGGAUCUCUUGGUUCUGGCAUCGAUGAAGAACGCAGCAAAAUGCGAUAAGUAAUGUGAAUUGCAGAAUUCAGUGAAUCAUCGAAUCUUUGAACGCACAUUGCGCCCGCCAGUAUUCUGGCGGGCAUGCCUGUUCGAGCGUCAUUUCAACCCUCAAACCCCCGGGUUUGGUGUUGGGGAUCGGAUUGCUAGUCAAUCCGUCUCCGAAAUCUAGUGGCGGUCUCGCUGCAGCCUCCAUUGCGUAGUAGCUAACACCUCGCAACUGGAACGCGGCGCGGCCAUGCCGUUAAACACCCAACUUCUGAAUGUUGACCUCGGAUCAGGUAGGAAUACCCGCUGAACUUAAGCAUAUCAAUAAGCGGAGGAA
rnacentral:rRNA from 1 species